GGGCGGGUAGCUCAGUUGGGAGAGCGCCGCCUUCGCACGGCGGAGGUCGGGGGUUCGAAUCCCCUCCCGUCCACCA
rnacentral:tRNA from 1 species